GAUGCUAAAAUUUUCAUUAAGUCCAUGGCCAAUUCUUUGUGAUUUCAUUUUUUCACAGGUGUCUGCAAGUUAGGGGACUUUUUGUCUCGCUAGUACUUUGAACAGUUCAACAAAUUUUUUUAUUUGAACUUUUUUCCUUGGUAGGACAGCUGGUGUCCUUUUCAACUUCAAGUAUGUACAAACAUGUGGCCUUAUUGGAGAUGAAAAUAUCCAAUAUCUAGAGAUAAUGCUGGUUGUCCUUUUCAAGUUCACGAGUGCAUAAGCCGAGUAGAUUAAAAGCAACAUUAGUUACAUGAAUGGUGGGUUAGCUAUGUCCAAGAAGGCAAUUCAAAUAAAGUUUGACUAAAGUCUAAAACUAGUUAGGGUAUUA
rnacentral:lncRNA from 1 species